AUACUUUUUUGACCUUUUGGCUGAGAUAAAGUGCAAUAUCUGCAGUUUAAUAUCUGGUAUGCGUGCCAUAUGUCCACUUUAAUUUUAAAUUUAUUAUUUGUGGGAAGGAUCCAUCGUAGUGGCUUGCCUUUAGGCACUCUCGUUUCGUACAAAUAUU
rnacentral:snRNA from 1 species